GCUCCAGUGCCCACUCCUCCUACGUUCCUCUUCCCCUUAGAGGGGUCAGAGCUGCAAGUGGUCUGAAGGGGCUCCCUCAGACUCCUCCCUCUCACCUUACCCCCCAUGUUCAUCACAGGGGCCUCCCCAGUGACUCUGGCAUGUCUCUGCAGCUACCUCUGAGAGCCCAAACCAACAAGAGGAAGAGCUGGGAGAGCCCGGGGAAGUUUAAGCAGACAGGAGACAUAGUGCAAGGAUUAAGGCCUGAACCCUAUCUCUGGGGACCCUGAGGUGCCAUGGGAGCUGCUAGAGGCUGAGGGACGACCAGGAUUUUGCUCCCAGGAGAUUUUUCCAGCUAAAACACAGCUUCAAAGCCACUGCAACAGACUUUCCAGGAGAGAAAGAAAAGCCUAGACUGCAUGUCACCAUCCUCCUCCCAGAGCUGGAAGGCCCCUGAUGGGCAGAAGCCAGAGCCGUUGUACACUACUGUCUUUGAAUCCUCAUAAAUCUGAGCGGUAAAAAGGGCACUGACUUGUACUACUUGCUGCCCUCUGUCUCCAGAGACCAAGACCAACUACACAAACAGCUCUGAGGAGAAUCAACAUUUCAAAUAGGGAUU